rnacentral:rRNA from 1 species
UACGGGGGGGGCAAGCGUUGUUCGGAAUUACUGGGCGUAAAGGGCUCGUAGGCGGCCAACUAAGUCAGACGUGAAAUCCCUCGGCUUAACCGGGGAACUGCAUCUGAUACUGGAUGGCUUGAGUUCGGGAGAGGGAUGCGGAAUUCCAGGUGUAGCGGUGAAAUGCGUAGAUAUCGAGAGGAACACCUGCGGCGAAGGCGGGUUGCUGGGCUGACACUGACGCUGAUGUGCGAAAGCGUGGGGAGCGAACAGG